GAGUUUNNNUCCUGGCUCAGGACGAACGCUGGCGGCGUGCUUAACACAUGCAAGUCGAACGAUGAAGCCUUUCGGGGUGGAUUAGUGGCGAACGGGUGAGUAACACGUGGGCAAUCUGCCCUUCACUCUGGGACAAGCCCUGGAAACGGGGUCUAAUACCGGAUAACACUCUGUCCCGCAUGGGACGGGGUUAAAAGCUCCGGCGGUGAAGGAUGAGCCCGCGGCCUAUCAGCUUGUUGGUGGGGUAAUGGCCUACCAAGGCGACGACGGGUAGCCGGCCUGAGAGGGCGACCGGCCACACUGGGACUGAGACACGGCCCAGACUCCUACGGGAGGCAGCAGUGGGGAAUAUUGCACAAUGGGCGAAAGCCUGAUGCAGCGACGCCGCGUGAGGGAUGACGGCCUUCGGGUUGUAAACCUCUUUCAGCAGGGAAGAAGCGAAAGUGACGGUACCUGCAGAAGAAGCGCCGGCUAACUACGUGCCAGCAGCCGCGGUAAUACGUAGGGCGCAAGCGUUGUCCGGAAUUAUUGGGCGUAAAGAGCUCGUAGGCGGCUUGUCACGUCGGAUGUGAAAGCCCGGGGCUUAACCCCGGGUCUGCAUUCGAUACGGGCUAGCUAGAGUGUGGUAGGGGAGAUCGGAAUUCCUGGUGUAGCGGUGAAAUGCGCAGAUAUCAGGAGGAACACCGGUGGCGAAGGCGGAUCUCUGGGCCAUUAC
rnacentral:rRNA from 1 species